UAGGAAGCUUGCCUGGAUGCAUGCCAAGU
rnacentral:piRNA from 1 species